UUGAGCGAUUUACUUCGGUAAAGAGCGGCGGCGGGUGAGUAACGCGUGGGUAACCUACCCUGUACACACGGAUAACAUACCGAAAGGUAUGCUAAUACGGGAUAAUAUAUUUGGGAGGCAUCUCUUAAAUAUCAAAGGUGAGCCAGUACAGGAUGGACCCGCGUCUGAUUAGCUAGUUGGUAAGGUAACGGCUUACCAAGGCGACGAUCAGUAGCCGACCUGAGAGGGUGAUCGGCCACAU
rnacentral:rRNA from 1 species